AGUGAACGCUGGCGGUAGGCCUAACACAUGCAAGUCGAACGGCAGCACAGUAAGAGCUUGCUCUUACGGGUGGCGAGUGGCGGACGGGUGAGGAAUACAUCGGAAUCUACUUUUUCGUGGGGGAUAACGUAGGGAAACUUACGCUAAUACCGCAUACGACCUACGGGUGAAAGCAGGGGAUAUUCGGACCUUGCGCGAUUGAAUGAGCCGAUGUCGGAUUAGCUAGUUGGCGGGGUAAAGGCCCACCAAGGCGACGAUCCGUAGCUGGUCUGAGAGGAUGAUCAGCCGCACUGGAACUGAGACACGGUCCAUGCUCCUACGGGAGGCAGCAGUGGGGAACAUUGGGCAGUGGGGGCAAGCCUGAUCCAGCCAUACCGCGUGGGUGAAGAGGGCCUUCGGGUUGUAAAGCCCUUUUGUUGGGAAAGAAAAGCAGCAGGUUAAUACCCCGCUGUUCUGACGGUACCCAAAGAAUAAGCACCGGCUAACUUCGUG
rnacentral:rRNA from 1 species